ACUUCCAGAGGAGCCAGGAGCUCUCAUCUUCAAACCCUAAAUUGCUCAAAUUGAUCAAAUUGAAAGGCCAAAUCAGUCCCAAAUCAAAAUCCAAGUUCAUAUUAGUGAUCACCUAAGUGAAAGGAUCACAAGUUUGACACUUAACGAGCAAGAUGGAGGCUUGGGAAGAAACGGGUCAAACGAAUCAAGAAGGAAAAGAAAAGCGUAGCUCGGAUACGAGGUGAAUGUCAGGGGAUUCCCGGAUGAAGAUCUAGCCCAACGAAGAACCGAACACACGAGAUUAAAGCUUCCGCACGGCGUUACGUCGUAACUUUUAAACGACGAACUCAAUUACAUUAUGUUGUACUAUUUUUUUUAAAUUGUAAAAGUUUUAGUAAACUCGUAUUGUCAUACGUAUGUGUAAUCGUAUAAACAUGUAUUUAUACGAAACUUAUAUAAAAUAUUGUAUAAAACAA